CUGACUGAACCAACCUCAGAUCCAGGAAAAGUUGUAGAGGAGACUACUGAUAGCUGGUAUUCUGAAUUCUCCUUUUGGAAGUUGUCCUGUGGGUGCUGCAUCUGGGUGGUAGAGCCAUUGUGGGAUUUUUAUUUCAUUUGACACUACAGCACUGAAGAUGCUGUGGAACAGGGAGGAGCAAGUAGGCAAGUGACUGAGGAAGCUUCCAGGAAACUGUAUGAAACACAAAGGGCAUGCCUUGGAUGUUGAGUCACCUGCCACUGAAAAGUAGGAACUCCUCUAGUGAAAUGCUGUCUGAUGCACAGAUGAAUGCAAGGGAGAAACGGAGGCUGGCCAAAAAAAAAAAAA